AAUAUUGCACAAUGGUCGAAAGCCUGAUGCAGCAACGCAGUGUGAGUGAUUAAGGCCUUCGGUUCGUAAAGAUCUUUGAACAGGGAUGUUAAUGACAGUACCGGAAAAACAAGCCACUGCUAACUACUAUCCAUCAGCCGCGGUAACACGUAGGUGGCGAGCGUUGUCCGGAAUUACUGGGCGUAAAGGAUGCGUAAGUGGAUACUUAAGUGGGAUAUGAAAUCCCCGGGCUCAGCCCGGGAACUGCAUUCCAAACUGGGUAUCUAGAGUGCAGGAGAGGAAAGCGGAAUUCCUAGUGUAGCGGUGAAAUGCGUAGAUAUUAGGAGGAACACCAGUGGCGAAGGCGGCUUUCUGGACUGUAACUGACACUGAGGCAUGAAAGCGUGGGUAGCAAACAGG
rnacentral:rRNA from 1 species